GUGAAUCAUCGAAUUUUUGAACGCAAAUUGCGCUUUCUGGUAUUCCGGAAAGUAUGCCUGGUUGCGGGUCAGUUAAAUAAAAAUCGGGGUUGUUGCCGCCUUUCGUGGUGACGCGUCGGAUUUGAGUCGUCUUACCUUCGGUUAUGCUUCUUAACGUUUUUGCAUGAUUUUCGAACGUAUUUAUAUAGUUUACGUACGUUUGAGAUAUCGAAUGAUUAGUACGUUCGGUCAUCCUCAUU
rnacentral:misc_RNA from 1 species